rnacentral:pre_miRNA from 1 species
UGAUCAAAGAACGAAUCGUCGAAUCGGAUGUCUGUGAAUAUGGUCAGAAAUUCGAAUCGACAUUCGACCUAUGGUUAU